GCGACGCGAAUGACACGCACAUGCACACCCUCUCUCUCUCUCUCACAUACGGAGGAGAGGAGGACAGUGAAGAAGAAGAAGAGAGGAGGAGGAGAAAAAGAAGAGGAGGAGAGGGGAAAGCGCAGAGAAAGAAAGAAAGAAAGAGAGAGAGAGAAAGAAAUCCGGGGAGAAAUGACCGCUGGACGGAUGGAUUUUAUUUUCCCCGAGCUGCACGAGCCUCUGUAAGACACCAUGGGCUGCAUCGGAUCCCGGACCAUCACAGUGGAUGCGGUGCCGGUACAGAAAGAUGGAGAUCAGGCGUGACUCGCUCCAUGAAGGACAAAGUGACCAAGCCCACUGCCAUGGCCCAGGGUCGCGUUGCCCACAUGAUCGAGUGGCAGAGCUGGGGCACGCCAUCCGUGGGGCCGAUGGGGACCGUGGGUCAUAACAACCUGCAGAGGGAAAAGGAAAGGAGGCUUGAGAACGAUGCUUACAGCGACCUUAGUGAUGGCGAGAAGGAGGCUCGCUUUGCUGCAGGCAUCAUGCAGCAGUUUGCGAUCUCCGAGGCGACCUUGUUCGGCUGGAACUCGAUGGACGGGGAGAGUAUGGGAGCCGGCUCCAACCAGGGCAGCGUUGCUCACCUCAGCGAGGUCAACCAGGAGAGCAUCACCAGCAGAGACCAGGUUCUCCACCACUCCUCGGCGGACGUCUGGCCUCACACCUACGUCUCACAGGGUCUGUACUGCCUGUCGUCCACUGACGCCUGGGAUCCAAUCACCAGCCAGCCCUCGGGCAUGGCCUCGCCUGCUGCAAGCUCCUACAUCAUGGCUACCGGUGGCGGCAGCGGAGCACCGGGGACACCCGGUGAGGGGUUUGAGGGGACGGUAGGCGGGUACCUACAGCAGCACCAUACUCAUUUCACGCUGCAGCAGCAGAACCAACUCCAACAGCUCCAACAACUUCACCAGUACCAGCAGCAACAGUUCCUGCAGUACCAACAAACCCAGUCACUGGAGCACAGGCUACAUAGUGCCUCCCAUUCCCUCCAAGCCACUCCCAACAGCACCAUCCACAGUCUCGGUCCUCCCACCCAUCCUCGGCUAGCUGACCUGUGGGGAGCUGCGCAGGUCGAGGCACACCACGUAGGCGCACCUCUGCUGAAUCCAAAUGGUCGGAUUACAGACUUUGCGGACUAUAUGGUGGUUUAAUAUAUUCUGACUGAGUUUGCAAGGGCACAGGGGUGUGUGACUGUACAUACAGUCACAGGCAAAGAGACAGCAUGUCUUAUUAUGAAUUUAAUACUCUCUUGUUAUUGUAGGAAGCCAAGGUUUAUCUUCUUUGAUGUCAGGCACGUGUCUUCAAAGGUGAAAAUAGUGCACUAAUCAUAGAAAUAUCACAUUGAUGUUAUUAUUCUGCACAGGAAGUCACUUUUAAGCCAAUUUCCAUUGCGUUUGACACUCAUCUUGGCUAAUUUGUUUUUGUCUUCUGGAUCUGGAUUUGUUUAUAUCAGCAGGCAUAUUUAACACACAUCUGUAGUGCAGUGAAUGAUGGGAGAAACUGCCAGGGAAGUCGGCAAGGUGGAGAUCGUCGGGCAGAUGAAUGGACAGAUCGCUGACAUGGUGGGAGGAGUGGUGGGAGGAGUGGUGGAGACAGUCGGAGAGGAGCCAGAGCCCGAGUCUGAAGGCAUCCUUGAUCAGCACGAGGAGGAAGAGGAGCUGACAAAG